AAUGUGGGAGUCCACUGCAAUAAUCCAGGAGAGAAAUCAUGUGAGCUUGAGAAGGAAUCAGAUUCUGCAUAUAUUUCCAAGUUAACAUGAACAAGAUUUUCUGAAAGACUGCUAUGGAGUCUGAGAAAAAAUGUCAAAGAUUGAGGACAUGAAGAGGAAAGAACUGACAGAGGAGGUGAAGAAAGGUGAUCAGGAAGAGCCAUCAAAGUGUUAUCCUGGAAUUCAAGUGAAGACAGUGUUUCAAAGUGGAAAUGAACAGUGUCCUGUAACCCUCAGAGUGAGACUAGAGUCAGAAUGCAGGCUUUUCUCAUUUGAAAUCUCAAGGUAAGUCCAGGUCCUUACCUCCACCUAAAAGUUCUGCCAUCAAGGAACAUCUGCUCAUUAUCUUCUGUUCACACAUCAAAUGACUUCAAUGUGAUCCCUGGAUGUUCUCCAAAGAGCUGAAGGGAAAUAAAUAUUCUUUCUUUAUCACCAAAUACUUCAACUGCAGAGUGAUUGUGCUACCAAGGCCUGAAACUUCGGAAAAACCUGCAUAACACAAAAUAUAAAAUAUGCCACAGAGAGGAUCCAGAGAGCCCAUCUCCGGUCAGUUAUCUGUAUUUGUAUGUCAACUACAGCAUCAAAAAGCAUAGGCAUGGAUACUAAGGACCCCCUCUGUACACCAACGCCAGUCCAAAGGACAGUGUGUCACUGUGAACUGGAAAUUCAUCUCUCUUCUUCAAUUUUUUUCUACCUACUUUAUGCUUUAUCUCUAAGUUGAGGCUGUUUAUGGCCUCAUCCUCAAUUACCUUGUCCCUCAUUACUCCCAGUUAAUGGAGAUUAAGCUUUGUAUCAUGACUUCCUAACUAAAAUUGAAAUCACAAGACAUCACAUAAAUAAAGUUACAAAUGGAUUAGAUAAAC
rnacentral:lncRNA from 1 species